rnacentral:rRNA from 1 species
CCUACGGGAGGCAGCAGUGAGGAAUAUUGGUCAAUGGACGAGAGUCUGAACCAGCCAAGUAGCGUGAAGGAUGACUGCCCUAUGGGUUGUAAACUUCUUUUAUAUGAGAAUAAAAUGUUCUACGUGUGUGUUCUUGUAUGUACCAUACGAAUAAGGAUCGGCUAACUCCGUGCCAGCAGCCGCGGUAAUACGGAGGAUCCGAGCGUUAUCCGGAUUUAUUGGGUUUAAAGGGUGCGUAGGUGGUUUGAUAAGUCAGUGGUGAAAGUUUGGGGCUCAACCGUGGACUUGCAGUUGAUACUGGCAGACUUGAGUACAGAAGAGGUAGGCGGAAUGCGUGGUGUAGCGGUGAAAUGCUUAGAGAUCACACAGAACUCCGAUUGCGAAGGCAGCUCACUGGACUGUAUCUGACGCUGAGGCUCGAAAGUGUGGGUAUCAAACAGGAUUAGAUACCCCGGUAGUC